CACGGAGUUAGCCGGAGCUUAUUCUCCAGGUACUGUCAUUAUCAUCCCUGGUAAAAGAGCUUUACAACCCUAAGGCCUUCAUCACUCACGCGGCAUUGCUGGAUCAGGGUUUCCCCCAUUGUCCAAUAUUCCCCACUGCUGCCUCCCGUAGGAGUCUCGGGCCGUGUCUCAGUCCCAGUGUGGCUGAUCAUCCUCUCAGACCAGCUAAGGAUCGUCGGCUUGGUAGGCCAUUACCCCACCAACUACCUAAUCCUACGCGGGCUCAUCCCUUGCCGAUAAAUCUUUGGUCCGAAGACAUCAUCCGGUAUUAGCAGCAAUUUCUCACUGUUAUUCCCGAAGCAAGGGGCAGAUUCCCACGCGUUACGCACCCGUGCGCCACUAGAUCCGAAGAUCUCGUUCGACUUGCAUGUGUUAGGCAUGCCGCCAGCGUUCGUUCUGAGCAGGAUCAACUC
rnacentral:rRNA from 1 species